GAUGAAGAACGCAGUGAAAUGCGAUAAGUAAUGUGAAUUGCAGAAUUCAGUGAAUCAUCGAAUCUUUGAACGCACAUUGCGCCCCCUGGUAUUCCGGGGGGCAUGCCUGUUCGAGCGUCAUUUGUACCUUCAAGCUCUGCUUGGUGUUGGGUGUUUGUCUCGCCUCUGCGUGUAGACUCGCCUCAAAACAAUUGGCAGCCGGCGUAUUGAUUUCGGAGCGCAGUACAUCUCGCGCUUUGCACUCAUAACGACGACGUCCAAAAGUACAUUUUUACACUCUUGACCUCGGAUCAGGUAGGGAUACCCGCUGAACUUAAGCAUAUCAAUAAGCGGAGGA
rnacentral:misc_RNA from 1 species